rnacentral:rRNA from 1 species
CAGCAGCCACGGGAAUACGGAGGGUGCAAGCGUUAAUCGGAAUUACUGGGCGUAAAGCGCACGCAGGCGGUCUGACAAGUCAGAUGUGAAAUCCCCGGGCUUAACCUGGGAACUGCAUUUGAAACUGUCAGGCUGGAGUCUUGUAGAGGGGGGUAGAAUUCCAGGUGUAGCGGUGAAAUGCGUAGAGAUCUGGAGGAAUACCGGUGGCGAAGGCGGCCCCCUGGACAAAGACUGACGCUCAGGUGCGAAAGCGUGGGGAGCAAACAGGAUUAGAUACCCGGGUAGUCCCUGUCUCUUAUAC